GCCAGACUCCUACGGGAGGCAGCAGUGGGGAAUAUUGGACAAUGGGGGGAACCCUGAUCCAGCGACGCCGCGUGAGUGAAGAAGUAUUUCGGUAUGUAAAGCUCUAUCAGCAGGGAAGAAAGAAAUGACGGUACCUGACUAAGAAGCCCCGGCUAACUACGUGCCAGCAGCCGCGGUAAUACGUAGGUGGCAAGCGUUGUCCGGAUUUACUGGGUGUAAAGGGCGUGCAGCCGGGAAGACAAGUCAGAUGUGAAAUCCCGCGGCUCAACCGCGGAACUGCAUUUGAAACUGUUUUUCUUGAGUACCGGAGAGGUCAUCGGAAUUCCUUGUGUAGCGGUGAAAUGCGUAGAUAUUAGGAGGAACACCAGUGGCGAAGGCGGCUUACUGGACUGUAACUGACGUUGAGGCUCGAAAGCGUGGGGAGCAAACAGGAUUAGAUACCCCGGUAUA
rnacentral:rRNA from 1 species